rnacentral:tRNA from 1 species
GCUUCCAUAGCUCAGUAGGUAGAGUACUUCAUUGGUAAUGAAGAGGUCGGCGGUUCAAAUCCGCUUGGAAGCUCCA